AAUGAACGCUGGCGGCGCGCCUAAUACAUGCAAGUCGAGCGAGAAGACGUAGCAAUACGUUUGUAAAGCGGCGAACGGGUGAGGAAUACAUGGGUAACCUACCCUAGAGUGGGGAAUAACUAGCCGAAAGGUUAGCUAAUACCGCGUACGCUCCUUGGACUUCGGUUCAGGGAGGAAAGCGAUGCCGAGGGUAUCGCGCUCUUGGAUGGGCUCAUGUCCUAUCAGCUUGNGGUGAGGUAACGGCUCACCAAGGCUUCGACGGGUAGCUGGUCUGAGAGGACGAUCAGCCACACUGGCACUGCGACACGGGCCAGACUCCUCGGGAAAGGCAGCAGUAAGGAAUAUUGCGCAAUGGGCGAAAGCCUGACGCAGCGACGCCGCGUGGGGGAGU
rnacentral:rRNA from 1 species